UCCGGUUGAUCCUGCCGGACCCGACUGCUAUUUGGGUGAGAAUAAGCCAUGCGAGUUGAAUGGGAUACCUAAAGAUCCCAUAGCAAACUGCUCAGUAACACAUGAUCAACUUACCCUAUAGAGAAAAAUAACCUCGGGAAACUGAGGAUAAUGUUUCAUAAUUGAAUUGGCUUGGAAAAGUUUUUCAAUGAAAAGGAUAAAAAAAAUGGUUUUUAUCUGCUAUAGGAUAGGAUCGUGUUCGAUUAUGGUUGUUGGUGAGAUAAUGGCUCACCAAGCCGAUAAUCGAUAGGGGCCGUGAGAGCGGGAGCCCCGAGAUGGGUACUGAGACAACGACCCAGGCCUUACGAGGCGCAGCAGGCGCGGAACCUCCGCAAUACACGAAAGUGUGACGGGGUUACCCAAAGUGUUCAAUAGAACUGUGGUAGGUGAGUAAUGUCCCCUACUAGAAAGGAGAGGGCAAGGCUGGUGCCAGCCGCCGCGGUAAAACCAGCUCUUCAAGUGGUCGGGAUAAUUAUUGGGCUUAAAGUGUCCGUAGCCGGUUUAGUUAGUUCCUGGUAAAAUCGGGUAGCUUAACUAUCUGUAUGCUAGGAAUACUGCUAUACUAGAGGGCGGGAGAGGUCUGAGGUACUACAGGGGUAGGGGUGAAAUCUUAUAAUCCUUGUAGGACCACCAGUGGCGAAGGCGUCAGACUGGAACGCGCCUGACGGUGAGGGACGAAAGCCAGGGGAGCGAACCGGAUUAGAUACCCGGGUAGUCCUGGCCGUAAACGAUGCAUACUAGGUGAUGGUACGGCCAUGAGCCGUAUCAGUGCCGUAGGGAAACCGUUAAGUGUGCCGCCUGGGAAGUACGGUCGCAAGGCUAAAACUUAAAGGAAUUGGCGGGGGAGCACCACAAGGGGUGAAGCCUGCGGUUCAAUUGGAUUCAACGCCGGG
rnacentral:rRNA from 1 species